CUAAGCCCCAGUAAACGGCGGCCGUAACUAUAACGGUCCUAAGGUAGCGAAAUUCCUUGUCGGGUAAGUUCCGACCUGCACGAAUGGUGUAACGAUUUGAGUACUGUCUCAACCAGAGACUCGGCGAAAUUGCAAUGUGAGUAAAGAUGCUCACUAUGCGCGACAGGACGGAAAGACCCCGGAACCUUUACUGCAACUUGAUAUUGAAUGUUUGUAUGCAUUAUGCAGGAUAAGUGGGAGACUAUGAAAUAAUGGCGCUAGCUGUUAUUGAGUCGACCUUGAGAUACCACUUAAUUCAUAUUGACCUUCUAACCUAGAUCCGUUAUCCGGAUCAGGGACAUUGUCUGGUGGGCAGUUUCACUGGGGCGGUGGCCUCCUAAAAAGUAACGGAGGCGCUCUAAGGUCACCUCAGCGUGGACGGCAAUCACGCAUCGAGUGUAAGUGCAAAAGGUGGCUUGACUGUGACACAAACAAGUGGAGCAGGUACGAAAGUAGGAACUAGUGAUCCCAUGGUUGCAUGUGGGUGCGCCAUGGCUCAUCGGCUAAAAGGUACUCCGGGGAUAACAGGCUUAUACCCCCCAAGAGUCCAUAUCGACGGGGGUGUUUGGCACCUCGAUGUCGGCUCUUCUCAUCCUGGGGCUGGAGCAGGUCCCAAGGGUUAGGCUGUUCGCCUAUUAAAGAGGAACGCGAGCUGGGUUCAGAACGUCGUGAGACAGUUCGGUCCCUAUCCGUCGCGCACGUAAGAAAUUUGAAGAAAGUUGUCCCUAGUACGAGAGGACCGGGAUGAACGAUCCGCUGGUGUGCCAGUUGUUCUGCCAAGAGCACCGCUGGUUAGCUACGAUCGGACAGGAUAAGCGCUGAAAGCAUCUAAGUGCGAAGCCCCUUCUAAGAUAAGAUUUCUCAUCGGGUUAACCGAUUAAGACUCCUUAUAGAACAUGAGGUUGAUAGGUCAGAAGUGUAAUUACAGUAAUGUAUGUAGCUGACUGAUACUAAUAAGUCGAGGGCUUGAACUG
rnacentral:rRNA from 1 species